CUAGCUUUUACUUUAUUCAAAAAUCUUAAAGGUUUUAUUUUAAUGACUGAAAAAGCAUUUUAAAAUACCAACAGUAGGAUUUUUGGAGCUGGGAGUUGGAAUAGGAGCUUGCUCCGUCCACUCCACGCAUCGACCUGGUAUUGCAGUACUUCCAGGAACGGUGCACCCCCU
rnacentral:snRNA from 1 species